rnacentral:rRNA from 1 species
GACGAACGCUGGCGGCGUGCUUAACACAUGCAAGUCGAACGGAAAGGCCCUGCUUUUGUGGGGUGCUCGAGUGGCGAACGGGUGAGUAACACGUGAGUAACCUGCCCUUGACUUUGGGAUAACUUCAGGAAACUGGGGCUAAUACCGGAUAGGAGCUCCUGCUGCAUGGUGGGGGUUGGAAAGUUUCGGCGGUUGGGGAUGGACUCGCGGCUUAUCAGCUUGUUGGUGGGGUAGUGGCUUACCAAGGCUUUGAAGGGUAGCCGGCCUGAGAGGGUGACCGGCCACAUUGGGACUGAGAUACGGCCCAGACUCCUACGGGAGGCAGCAGUGGGGAAUAUUGCACAAUGGGCGGAAGCCUGAUGCAGCAACGCCGCGUGCGGGAUGCCGGCCUUCGGGGUGUAAACCGCUUUCGCCUGUGCCGAAGCGUGAGUGACGGUACUGGGUAAAGAAGCCCCGGCUAACUACGUG